CCCCAGCACACGGGAGCUCCCACCCAAGGGGGCUGAGAGGGCGGCUGCCGGGCAUUCCGAGCCCGAGCGGGGCCGCCGACCGCCGAACCUGUCCGGGUAAUGCCGGCGUAGGGAGCGUGUGCUGGUAUGUCG
rnacentral:ncRNA from 1 species